rnacentral:misc_RNA from 1 species
AUGCCAUAGAUAAAGCAAAACUUGAAUGUAAUUUUAUUAUCCUCCUUUUAUCAAAGAAUUAGUUUGGCAUAUUUUUCUAAAAAAAAUUUCUGACUGCAUCUAUUUUUUUAAUCCAAAUCCAGAAUAUUGAAGUUCUUGUAGCAAACUUAAAUCUUAUCAAAUACAUCUUAUAUUGCUUAAAGGUUGAUGUUUACUCUGAAUGUAGCCUUUAAAUGUAUUUUACAUAGUAUAAAAAUUUUUGAAAAUAAGCACAAUCAUUUGGGUUUUUUUUUCUGAAAUGUACAAAAAUACUUUAAUAAUACAAUUUUUUUUUAACUUCUUUUUUUUCAAACUUUUUUCGAUAUUUAAGAAAUACUAAAUUUAGCACAUGGUUUUAAAUAUUCUGAUAAUCCGAUUCUAACAACUAAAAUCCAGAGUUAACAUCAUCCUUUUUUUUUUUUUUUUUUUUUUGAAAAAAAAAUAAAAAAAUAAAAUGUAUAUAAAAUGU